UCUCCCCCAAUUUUUUUGUUUGUGCAAUUCAUUUCUUUUUUUUUUGUUUUUCCCGUCGUUUCUUCUUCUUCUUCUUCCUCCCUCAACUCAAGUUGCUCCUUCUUUUUCUUUUUCUUACCCUAGUCGCCUUGCUUUUAGACCGCUGCUAGGCCACUGUCCGGCCUCCUCCUGUGAGCUCUUCGACCAACUAAGACUCCAGAGGACUUAGUUAACGAUGACCCCAAAGCCCUCUGAUUUGGUAUUUGGAUUUGAUUUCUGGUAAUGGGGGAAUUUGAAUCAUUCAUUGGGUUGAUGUGGUGAGAAUGAUGAAACAUAGUAGAUGGUGGUGGUGAUUUUAGGGUGAAGGUUUCACUUUCACUCUUAGACUUCCUUCAAGCUUCAGUGUGAAUCAUUGAUGAAGCUGCUUUCGGCAAAAACUUCAACAUCUUGUUUUUGGGUUUCAUCUGUUUCUCCAUUAUUGUUUGUAAAAAAAAAUAUCAUUUUUUUUCCAACUUUCUUUCUAAUAUUUUGUUUCAUUAGCCCGAUUAUAGGUUCCUUUCCAUUGUUUUUCCAAAAAUGUUACUUUUCUACUAGUAAUUAAUUUUCCAGUAAACACAGAGGUAAGAAAGUUUUUCUCAGUUUUAUGUAUUAUUUUAAAUAAUUAUCCAAAUUUCAAUUUCAAUUGGGUUUUGUUUUCCAUGACAUACCUGUUUAAAUAAAA